GUUCAUGUUCCAUUUACUGGAACCAGCGUGUGUGAUUAAUGGUGCUGACCCACUGUAGGUUGCAUGGCCGCUGUGUGUGUGUGUGCUGUAAUGUAAUGCUGAUGUAGACCAUGUGUUGCGUGCAGCACGGCAGGGAAGCAGUUGAUCAAAGCUGCUCAGAAACAUUCCAGAAACCUGAGCGAGAGCUUCUGUGGUCGAAGCCUGAGGAGAGACGAGGAAAACAAACGUCAGGUCCACACGCGACGAGAAGAGAGGCCACACGUUUCAAAAUGCAGCGUCACCUUUUAUUGCAAAGGUAAAAAGUGAGGCUGUUAAAGCCGCAGCGCAGAAUGUUUGUCGCCCCCUUCUGGACACCCUUCUCUGCAGAGUGCAGGGAUGGAAUGACACCAUGAGCCAGAAAUCUUCACCUUCUGACUCCAGCAGGUAUUUCCCCUGCAGAUGCAAACUGAGCAGGAGGUGGAGGAGCGGUUUUUUUUUUUUGAGGGGGUGAAGGAGGUUGCGUGCAUCUAAAAAUAAUUUGAACUCUCAACAACAAUAAUUCCAGGGGAGGGCGGGAACCUGCUGGCCAAAGGCAAGCUGACAACACCUACUGAGAACAUAUUUAAAGAGUCUGUGCACCAAAAUCCAGAAAUCAUUCUGGACAGAGUCGUCCCACAGAGUGAGAGAGGAGCAGAGAGGAGGAGCAGCAGGUCAGAUGAUCCAGUGUGUUCAGUCUGACAGUAAGAAGAAAAACUACCUGAAGAGACCAGAGACCAGAGACCAGGUGAGAGAGGAGCGUCCAGACUCCAGCAUGCCUUCCUCCUCCUCCUCCUCCUGCAGACUGACACCAGUGGCCCUGGAGCCUUUCGAUGUAUCUUCCGUGCACCUUCCUCCUCCUCCUCCUCUCCGGGUCCGGCGCCCCCGCCGGGUACUGUACCCCGCAUCUCAGAGCAGGAGGCCCCCCCUAAGGGAGGCCCCGGACCAGGCCCUGCGCUGGCUCCUGCUGUUGUCUGCGCUCGUCUUCCUGCAGAUCUACACAGAGGAGGCGCACACCUGCACAGAGAUCCAGACUCAGUGCCCAGACCCUGCAGCGUGUUCUUCCCAGGAGGGUGAAGGGAGCCGGGACUCAGCUCAGGGAUGGACGGCGGAGGAGGCCUGGAGGCUCCAGGCAGUGGGUGGAGCUUCAGAGGCUCAGAUGGAGUGUGUGGUGGCCUGAGGGAGGAGGCCUGCUGCCGGGACUGACUGAACAGGAUGAGAGAUGAAGAGGUCGUUUUUAUCUUAAAGACAGUUUGUUGGAAAUGACCUCUGACCUCUGACCUCUGGCUUCAGUGCUGGUGGUUUGUGUUGGACUUCAUUCACACCAGAAUUGUUGAGCAUGUAAAAGCAUCACAGUAAAUUUCUGCAAAGCCUUCUUACUUUUUAACCAUGUGAGCGAUAAGUAAACAAACCACUAAAGCCGUGUUUGUGUUGGUUUUUGUGUAAAGAUGAUUUAAUCUGAACCUUUUUGUGUGAUCGUCCAUGUGAGUGUUAGAAUCAGUGUUAAUUUUGUUGACGAAUCAUUUUCGUCAUAGUUUUCAUUAACGACCUUUUUUUGCUGAUAAAAAUUAGACGAUAACUAAAUAAAAACUAACGCACGGUGCCA
ensembl:lncRNA